rnacentral:tRNA from 1 species
AGCAUGUUGGCUCAGAGGAAGCGCGUCGUAAGUUUCUGGUGAAUUCUUCACUAAGAAAACCAACACUAACAUUACCAUAGGGGCUCAUAACCCGAAGGUCCCUGGAUCGAAACCAGGACAUGCUA